rnacentral:rRNA from 1 species
CUACGGGUUGCUCCAGUCGAGAAUCUUCCGCAAUGCGCGAAAGCGUGACGGAGCGACGCCGCGUGCAGGAUGACACCCUUCGGGGCGUAAACUGCUUUUAUAGAGGAGAAAGCUUCGGCUGAUGUUACUCUAUGAAUAAGGGUCCGCCAAACUCGUGCCAGCAGCGGCGGUAAUACGAGUGACCCGAGCGUUAUCCGGAUUUAUUGGGCGUAAAGCGUCCGCAGGCGGUUUAUUAAGUCAUUAGUCAAAUCCUCCGGCUUAACCGGAGAACUGCUAAUGAAACUAAUUAACUAGAGGCAGGGAGAGGCAGAUGGAAUGGUAGGUGUAGGGGUAAAAUCCGUUAAUAUCUACUGGAACACCAAAGGCGAAAGCAAUCUGCUGGAACUGUCCUGACGCUCAGGGACGAAAGCGUGGGUAGCGAAUGGGAUUAGAUACCCGAGUAGUC